AGCACAUUUCUUGUGUGACCGCGUACUUUUUGUAGAACGGGCCAACGAGUUACGUUAAGUAGCAAGGUUAAGCACUUAAGGUUCGGAGCCGUAGCGAAAGCGAGUUUUAACUGAGCGUUCAGUUACUUGACGUAGACCCGAAACCGGGCGACCUACCCAUGAGCAGGAUGAAGCGAAAGUAAAAUUUCGUGGAGGUCCGAACCCACGAGCGUUGAAAAGCUCGGGGAUGACUUGUGGGUAGCGGUGAAAUUCCAAUCGAGCCCGGAGAUAGCUGGUUCUCCCCGAAAUAGCUUUAGGGCUAGCCUCAAGGUGAGAGAUACGGAGGUAGAGCACUGAAUGUCCUAGGGG
rnacentral:rRNA from 1 species